rnacentral:rRNA from 1 species
AGUGUACGCUGGCGGUAGGCCUAACACAUGCAAGUCGAACGGCAGCACAGUAAGAGCUUGCUCUUACGGGUGGCGAGUGGCGGACGGGUGAGGAAUACAUCGGAAUCUACUUUUUCGUGGGGGAUAACGUAGGGAAACUUACGCUAAUACCGCAUACGACCUACGGGUGAAAGCAGGGGAUCUUCGGACCUUGCGCGACUGAAUGAGCCGAUGUCGGAUUAGCUAGUUGGCGGGGUAAAGGCCCACCAAGGCGACGAUCCGUAGCUGGUCUGAGAGGAUGAUCAGCCACACUGGAACUGAGACACGGUCCAGACUCCUACGGGAGGCAGCAGUGGGGAAUAUUGGACAAUGGGCGCAAGCCUGAUCCAGCCAUACCGCGUGGGUGAAGAAGGCCUUCGGGUUGUAAAGCCCUUUUGUUGGGAAAGAAAAGCAGCAGGUUAAUACCCCGCUGUUCUGACGGUACCCAAAGAAUAAGCACCGGCUAACUUCGUG